rnacentral:sRNA from 1 species
GUAAUGCUGCUGGUUAUCCCCUGAUAGCUUAUGAUUGCCACGGGGCUGCUGUUGAGCGACGCGGAGUAUGGAUAUGGCAGCGCUGUGGUGGCGGUGAAGGCAGCCGCCGAAGCUGCCGAUGGCGAAGCGGCUGCCACGGCACCCAGGAAGGCGCUGCUGCUGUUGAAGUCCGUGACUGACUCCGGUUCCGCGCCGCUCUCCUCGAGCCUCGGGGUGGCCGUGGUGGCCGCUUUGGCCGCUUUGGCCGCUGCAUAGGCCACCCAACUGCUGAGAAAGAGUAUCAGCAGCGUCAGUGU